rnacentral:lncRNA from 1 species
UUAUUUGUAACAGCCCCGGGAAUUCAAAAUGGAAUGUAUAUUAAAAAUAUCAAAUGCGGAAGCGAAAUCAAAAAUUCGAUUAACAUCCCUUACACUAAAACCAAGAACGUGCUCACAAUAUAAAAGAUCAAACUAGCUAAAGGAGAAACUUGAAAGUAAAAACUACAAAUAUGACUAUGGAGUCUUUAGGCGUCCCCUUCGUCGUCCUCCUGCGGAACUGGCUCGGGAACAAUGUCUUCCUGAUCUGAAAUGAUUAAAUAAGGAAUGAGCUACACUAGCCCAGUAAAGACAUCACGAUAUCUCACCGUCACGGAGGUAAAGGUGGGUAGAAAACACAAAAAGACCAAUGGAGCAUAAUUUACAACAAAACCUUUUAUCAAUAAUAAAACCUUUACC